CAGCAAGUGGAAUACUCCCAAAGAGCAAUGCUGGGCAUAAUUUGACCACGUGUUCCCCUGCAAAUCCGUAUUCUUUUUAAGAAGUACCAGUCUUUGUAAGACGAGCUGUGGUACAAGACCCCGCAGUGCCCCCAGAUGGAUCUAGUUGUUCAUCAGCAACAGCCUCCUGGUGACUCAGGAAUUUUUUACCAGGUGUACGAGGCCAAGCAGGCACAGCUGGAGGCCUUCUGGCCUGAGGGCAGGAAAAUCCUGCCUGAGCUCAAACAAGCAAUGCAGGUGUAUGGGUGCGGGGAGAAUCACAGAUGUUGAAGUCACUGAGGUUGCAAGGGGCCUCUGGAGACCUCUGGGUCCAACACCCUGUGGUUGGACCUUUUCUGGUCCAACCCACUGCUCAAGCAGGGCCACCAGGGUUGCUUGCCCAGAACUGUAUCCAGAUGGCUUUUGAAGAUCUCCCAUGAGGUAGUAGACUCCACAACGUCUCUAGGCAAUCUAUGCCAGUCGUCCAUCACCCACACAGUAAAGAAUUGCUUUCUUGGUGUCCAGACAGAGCCUCCUGUUCUGUCUUCUCCAAGCUGAAGAGUCCCAGCUCACUCAGCCUGCCCUUAUAUGAGAGGAGAGGCUACUCGAGUGGCAUUUACAAACACUGCUUUGCUGUGCAGGUUUGGAAUUAGGAAAACCUAAACUCAGCGAGAGUUAAAAUUGCCAAGAGAUGUGAAGAGCAGUGAGAAGGGUGCUUGUAAAGACACUGGCAGCAAAGGGGAAAUGUGGGUUUGCUGCUCCGUGAGUAAAGAGACCUAGUCCCAGAUGGACAUCCAAGAAGCAGAGAUAGUCAGUGCUGUCUUUGCCAUGGUCUUCACUGGCAGGAUCUGCUCCCAGGAUCACCCAGGUCCCUUUGCUUGGUGACAGAGUCUGAGGAAGUGAAGAACCAUGGUAGUGGACAGACAUGAGGACAGGAAUAAAGUAAUGAACUUACAGACUGUUACAGAAUGUUUAAGUCAACUGGACAUACACAAGUCUAUGGACCAGACAGGAUGCAUCGAGGAAUACUGAGGGUGAUAUGAGCUGAUGUGACUUUGAAGCCACUCACAGUCAUCCUUGAAAAGCCAUGGUGAUAGGGGAAGUUUCUGAUUACAAGAGAAGACAAUGGUCAUGGCCAUCUUCAAAGAAGGCAAGAAGAGGGAUCCAAGGAACUAUGAGUUAGUCAGCCCAAACAGUCAGGGCAAAUCAUACCUGGCCUUCUGUAAUAAGAUGACUGGGUUUGCAGAAAAGAGGACCCCUGGUUCUCUUAUUUAGUGUAACUUUAGCAAGAUUUUGACAGUCACUCAUAGCAUUUUUUUAACUAAAGUGCAGGGAUGCAUACUGCAUGGGUUCACUGUGAGAUAGCUGGAUAGCUAGCUGGACCACCAGGGUCAGAGAGAGAGUAGAGGGCAACUGUUCAGAGUCCCACUGGCACUGGGAUGAGUAGUCAGUAUAGGGACUGAUAGCAUUUAAUAUCUUUAUUUAUUAUGUGGACAUUGCAAUGAAUGCACAAAUAACAAAUUGAAUGGAGCGAUACAUAUGCUAGAGGGUAGAGCUACUGUUCAAAAGAACCGAAAUGAAAAAAUGGCCUGCUAUUAACCUCAUGAAGCUCAGCAGACAAACACAAAGCCUUGCCACCUGGGAUGGAAUAAUCCCAUGCAGCUGUGAAAGCCGAACAGCAAAUGGGUAGAAAGCAGCUUUGCAGAAAAGGACCUGCAGAUCCUAGUUGAGAGCAUGUUUAAAAUGAGUUAGCAGUGCAGUGGAGGCCAGCCAAAUGAUGGGAUGUAUUAGCAAGAGAACAGCCAACAGCUCAAGUGAAGUUCAUUCCCUGUCUGUCACUUCCAUGACUAUAUCUCAAGGAGCACAUCCAGUUUGGGGCUUCCGAGUGUAAGACAGACACUGACCUACUGGAGCAUGUGCAAUGGAGAGCCACCAAAAUGAUUUGGGGACUGGAGCACAAGACAUACGAGAAGCUGAGAGGUGGGUCUGCUGAGCAUGGAGAAGAAAAGGCUUGGGGGAGAAGGGAGGGGUGACUCCUCCAUAUGCUUCUCUAAUGGGAUAGGGCAAAGACACAUGAGCCAGGUUCUUCUCAGACGUGCAUAUGAAAGAAAAACCAGCAAUGAGCAGAAAUUGUACCAAGGGAAAUGCAGAUUGCACAUAAGGAAAAAGAAUUCUCAGUGCAGGGUCCAAAACUGGAGCAAGGGCCCAGAGCAGCUGCAGGAUCUCCAGCAUCGGACAUUUACCGCAUGCUCAGCUUGACAUGACGAGGGGCAUACUGAUCUUGCAUCAAAGUUGGCCUUGUUUUGAGCAGGGUUGGACCAGCUGUUCUGCAGACGUCUUUUCUAAGCAAAAUCAUUCUAUGAUGCAAUCCUGACAUCACCGUAGAACUGAACCCUCAUUUAAAUAUACCUCACAAAGCAGAGGUGUUGUCAGUUUGCUUUAAAACAAUACCCAGAAUCCUCCACAGCUGAUAAACACUAAAACUUUGGAUUUAUUUUGCGUCUUCUGAGCCUAACUCCUAUGUCGGCAUAGUCAUCACAGUUUUGUUUCUGAACAGCUUGUUUCCUUUAGAAUUUCUACCUCAUGCUGGGAUGGAGGUAUGUCUAAUGGCCCAUUUGUGAUAGAUCCUGGACAGAAAUCCACGGGCGUGUGUUGUACUUGAUAGACAUCCCCUCAGAAGAGGCUACAGAAACAAAGUUUGGUGACUGUUCCUGGACAGAAUAAAAGUACAGAGACGGAGCAGUGUGAAAAUGUGCGUACCGCUGCUGAAUCCCUUUUACGAGAGCUGGCUGCGUGGAGAAAGAAAGAAAGAAAGAAAGAAAGAAAUGCAGUUGCAGGAAGCGAAUCUAAAUAAGCUCCUACUCCACCUUUUUCAAUUUACUGGAGGAAAUAUCUUUUUUCAUAUCAUUUGACUUUUUGAUUGUUAGAUCAAAUUGAGCCAGUUGGAAUGAGACUCAGUGAUCAGAAGAGAAGUCCUGAAAACCUCUGUUUAGCUGCUCUCUGGUCUCUGUGCAAUUGGUUUGCUUAAAUUUGCUGUAAUAACCUUUUAAGAGUCGUGUAUCCAUUCUUCACUGAGGACCCUGCUGUGCAUUGUGAUUAUGUUAUCUGUUGCCUCCCUGAAUGUUUAACAUGAUCAAAGUGUUGUGGGGUAUGUUUUUUCUCUAGGUCUUUUUUUUUCCCCCCUCUACAAGCUUUUACUUUCAAAAUAUAAGCAUACAUUGUUUGAUACGUAUUACUCUCCAUGUGUCAAUCCCCCUUUUCUUCUGUUUUUUUCCCCUUUUCUCUUUAAAGUUCCUGCUUAGUAAGUAUUGAACAAGCAUGCUGAGUAGCUCUGAUAAUUAGGUAAUUUGAAUUCGGGGAUGGAUGUUAGAUGUUAAGGUGUGGGAUGGAGGCUGGUUACGUUGGAAGGCAAUGUAUUCUGUCUCUGGGUAGGAGAGAGUGAAAUGCCCUUUAUAUCAGCACUGCUCGCCAGCAAACCAAGGGUAUGGUGUUGAACAUAAAUGCAAUUGCAUGGCCUUGUUCGCCCUCUUUCUCAGGGAAAGCAGCAGAUGUUGACAGUGAAUAUAGUGAAGUGCAAACGGGUAAAAUAAUGAACUGAAGUAGCAACUUAAUGGAAUUAUUAAUGGGAUUUGUGUUCAAAUAGUGAACAAGGAUUGAUUUUUAUUAACAUAGGUUUUACACAUAUAAACUUAUGCGAAAGAUUAUACCAUACUUCUUCUCUGGUGGAGUGUUUAUAGAGUACACUGUAUGCGCAGGGUUCUCUGAACUUCUUUAAAUAUUGCCCUUUCUCCCACUUAUCUCCCAGUGCUUCUCAGUGUGUAGCACUCCAUAUAAAUCUGUAUAAUAUACCCAGAGAUUUAACUGAACAGUGAGGAAACCUUGAAAUUAAAACUGAAGCAGUAGGUGUUCAGUGGGAGUUUGGUGUUUGCUUGUUCAUUCUCACCAGAAUAAAGGGUGGGAACAUGAUGGAUAGCUCAAAAUGCUAAAGUGCAGCUAUCUGUGAGCUGGGAGGCCUCUGCUAGAAGUGGCUAUAUACCUACAAGGUGGUGGUGAAGACGUCAUAAUUAUGAGCUGACAUUUAAAGAAAUGUCAGAAGCAUUCAAACAAACCCCUGCUCGGCUUCCACCCAUGUAUCUUUUUGUGUCCCCGAUCCUGCCAUCUGUUAUCCCAAGGACUUUGGUUUUGAUUACCUUUUUGUUUGCUUUUCUGAUAAAUGUUUUGUUUAUCCUCUAUGCUUGGCGUAUGCUUCCAGAGAUUGUUUGCAAGCCCCUUACCCUCUUUGUAUGUGGAUUUCUCCUAAAGAACUAUUUACCACCAUGAUGCUGGCAAAAACUAAUCCUCUGAUUAAAGAUGGGCUGAGUAUUUCUGCAUGUGUCUGUAUUUAGGAGCAGACUUUGCCAAAUACCUAUUCGGAGUGUGUGUACAAAAAUGCAUAUGGUGUUGCUCAACAUUGUUAUCUGUCAUCUGCUCGUGUUAUUUUCUUCACGCAUUGUUUUCUUGACAUUUUUGAAUGUGAGCUCUUCAGGGCUGGGAACGUGUCAUUCCUGACAUUUGGGAAGUUCUUCAUUCCAUGUAAGAGAUUUUGUAUUACUACAUGUAUUUUGAAAA